UACGAAGGGGGGCUAGCGUUGCUCGGAAUCACUGGGCGUAAAGCGCACGUAGGCGGACUUUUUAAGUCAGGGGGUGAAAUCCUGGAGCUCAACUCCAGAACUGCCUUUGAUACUGGAAGUCUUGAGUUCGAGAGAGGUGAGUGGAACUGCGAGUGUAGAGGUGAAAUUCGUAGAUAUUCGCAAGAACACCAGUGGCGAAGGCGGCUCACUGGCUCGAUACUGACGCUGAGGUGCGAAAGCGUGGGGAGCAAACAGG
rnacentral:rRNA from 1 species